ensembl:lincRNA
CAUAGUUGGCAAUGAAGGAAUAUGCCUCGGAUAAAUAGAAAUAGAACAAUUGUGGUUAUCCAAAUGCUUUGAGCUUGAAUGCUGUCUAGGUAAUUGGAUGGACAAUUUCUUACAAUUUUCAUUUUUUUUCUAAUCUUUUUUGUCCUUUAGGUGAUGUAACAUACUAUAUUACACAUGGUGAGGUGAGACCCUUAGAAGGUUGAAUCAUUCCGACUAAUGGAUGUACUAUCACCAGUUUAUUAGAGCCCCUCUCCAUAACUUCAGUGUUCCUUCAGCUGACUCUGCCUCUUCAAUGACUCUCCCACCAUGGCCAGGCUAACAGUGUGUGCUUUAACAGGGAUGGUGGUGACACCCCACACUCAGACUGAGAUGAUGACGUAAGGAAGUAGUCACAAUGCAGUAUGGAUAGCAGGCAAGAACUGGGGUCCCGGGGCCGCACUGCCUGGAUUCCAAGCCUGAUUUUGCAUGCAUGACUUGAGACUUCAGGUAAUUUGCUUAAACUCAUUGUAACUCAGUUUUUUCUUUAUAAAUUGAUAUUUCAUCAUGCAACAACUGUUUAUUGUGCUAAUUAUUUGGGAAGGGUAUAAUUUUGGGGGCUAGGAUAUAGCCAUCAACAAACCAGAU